rnacentral:tRNA from 1 species
ACGACCGUAGCUCAACUGGUGAGGGCGCCGAAGUAGCGCUCUGGAAGUCGCGGAUUCAAAUCCCGCAGGUCGUU